ACCAGACUGGCUCCACCCAGAGCCAAGAGAGGAUCACCAGCCUUCUGAGGCCUGCUCUUUUCUCUGGCUGAGCACUUCCAUUCUGACUCCCCUCAGAUCUCUCCCCAGGCAGGUGCCGGCCGGCCUCACCGCACCCCAGCCCAGCCAUACCCGAACCGUCUCUGCGCCGCUGCCCACGCUGCCGCUUCCGCCCAGCACACCGAGAAUUUGGGUUUGUGGAUUCGUUUAUUUGCCAGCUCCACGGAUCGGGGCAGGGGCUCCUGGCUCCCAGCGGAGGGCGCGAGGAGAUGCGUGGCCGAUUGCUCAGUGCUCCGGGUUCCGAGCUACUGCCUCCAUGCGCACAAAAGCAACUUGGAGGCCCCAGGUGUUCCAAGGGCACCUAGUUUCCACCAGGACUGGGUGAGGAGCAAGGAGAAAGCAGAUGACCAAAAUUGGGCCUAUGGGGAGUCCCAGAAUGUGGCCCAUCAGAGGUCUGGCAGCCUCAGGACAGGAGCCUCUGGGGCUGGAAGCCUGACAGCCAAGGCGCAGAAAAUUGGUCAGCCCCCUGGCUGCAGCAGGACAGCAAAUGGGGGAGCGACAGAGUACCCAGCUCAGGUAGGGCUCAGGUUGGGGCCCAGGGAGGGCUCAGGUAGAGCAUUCGUGGAGGCUGUGCCUGUUUUCUCUUUGAACUGGGCACAGGAAGGCUUAUCUGACCACACUGGCAGGGUCUGUGAGUUUCUCUUGCUGAGAGAACUGAAGCUAAGAUGCUGCAGUGACCCCUGGGGCCUGUGGCUGGUCAGGGAGCUCAGCACACAGGCCCAUAUGCCCAAGCAUCCUCUCCCGGGUGUGGUUGGUCCUGAGUGCCCAGAGACCUUUUCCUCCAUCUCGGUGGCAGGCAAGCUGGUAUGUGGCUUCCCCUCCACCUGUCUCCUCUGGAUGCCACCUGCAUCCUUGAGCUGCCCUUUAGUCAGUGUGGGUGGGUUCCUGCCCACCUCCAUGCCAGGCACCCACCUCCACCCUGGCCCAGGUUGGAGGUUGGGCAGGAUGGGGAGAAGCAGAGUGUGCAGGCUGGUGGUGGGUCAACCCAGUGCUCAGAGCCCACGGGGCAGUGAGCAGGACUCAGCACCAUGCGCUUGA
rnacentral:lncRNA from 1 species